AAGAAAGUAAAUAAGGGCGCAUGGCGGAUGCCUUGGCUCUCGGAGGCGAUGAAGGACGUGAUAAGCUGCGAUAAGCUUCGGGUAGGUGCAAAUGACCAUUGAUCCGAAGAUUUCCGAAUGGGACAACCCGGCAUUCUGAAGGAAUGUCAUCCAACUUGGUUGGAGGCUAACGCAGGGAACUGAAACAUCUUAGUACCUGCAGGAAAAGAAAAUAAAUAAUGAUUCCCCUAGUAGUGGCGAGCGAACGGGGAUUAGCCCAAACCACCCAUGUUACGGCAUGUGUGGGGUUGUAGGACCACGCUCUCGCAAGACAGUUAUUGAGAAGAAACGACUGGAAAGUCGUGCCAUAGACGGUGAUAGCCCGGUAUUCUAAGGUAACCGAAGCGUAGUGGUAUCCUGAGUAGCGCGGAGCACGAGGAAUUCUGCGUGAAUCAGCCGGGACCAUCCGGUAAGGCUAAAUACUCCCGAGAGACCGAUAGCGAACCAGUACUGUGAAGGAAAGGUGAAAAGCACUUCGAAUAGAAGAGUGAAAUAGUCCCUGAAACCAUGCGCCUACAAG
rnacentral:rRNA from 1 species